AGAGUUGAUCGAUGGCUCAGGACGAACGCUGGCGGCGUGCUUAACACAUGCAAGUCGAACGGGAGUAUUGAAGAAGCUUGCUUAGAGAUACUUUAGUGGCGGACGGGUGAGUAACGCGUGAGGAGCUGUCCUAUGCAGGGGGACAACAGCUGGAAACGGCUGCUAAUACCCCAUAAGCCGAGAGGUAAAAGGAUCAAUCCGGCAGAGGAGGUACUCGCGUCCUAUCAGCUAGUAGGUGAGGUAACGGCUCACCUAGGCGAAGACGGGUAGCCGGCCUGAGAGGGCGAACGGCCACACUGGAACUGAGAUACGGUCCAGACUCCUACGGGAGGCAGCAGUGGGGAAUAUUGGGCAAUGGGGGGAAACCCUGACCCAGCGACGCCGCGUGGGUGAAGAAAUCCUUCGGGAUGUAAAGCCCUGUUGUAUGGGAAGAGCGGAAGACGGUACCAUACGAGGAAGCCCCGGCAAACUACGUGCCAGCCGCGGC
rnacentral:rRNA from 1 species